CACUCAACUUUCCACGGUUUGCACACUCGAUUUUCGCAGGGUGUUUCAAGUACCAGAGGUAGCCGGUUGCCGCGUGACGAAGGGAACAAAUCGACCAAACAAGCGAGGACGGUCAUGCGAUCUGCGCGGAUUGCACUGAUGCUGACGCUCGCGCUUGGCGGUCUGCAUGCGUCGAACUUCGCCCAUGCGCAGCGACAGGAGCCUGGUGCUUCGGCGCGCAA
rnacentral:ncRNA from 1 species